AACGCACAUUGCGCCCUUUGGCAUUCCGAAGGGCAUGCCUGUUCGAGCGUCAUUGCAACCCCUCCAGCGGCCUGCUUGCGCGGGCGCAGCUGGGCGUUGGGCGUCUGUGGCUGCGGCCACUCGCCUGAAAAGCAUCGGCGCCGGCGCGUCGGCCCUGCGCGUAGCACAUUGUUCGCGCCUGGGACCCCGCCGCGGCGGCCGCCGUCUCCACGCACAGCAGCACCGGGCUCGGUGCCUGCUUCCAUGACUUGACCUCGGAUCAGGUAGGGAUACCCGCUGAACUUAA
rnacentral:misc_RNA from 1 species